rnacentral:rRNA from 1 species
GACGUAGGGGACGAGCGUUGUCCGGAUUCAUUGGGCGUAAAGCGCGGGCAGGCGGUCUGACAAGUCUGAUGUGAAAUCUCCGAGCUUAACUCGGAAAUGGCAUUGGAUACUAUUCGGCUAGAGGGUUUGAGGGGGGACUGGAAUACUUGGUGUAGCAGUGAAAUGCGUAGAUAUCAAGUGGAACACCAGUGGCGAAGGCGAGUCCCUGGAAAACUCCUGACACUGAGGCACGAAAGCUAGGGGAGCAAACAGG